AUGCUUACAUGGCAGAGAAGAUAUUAUCAAUAUAUUGACUACUAUUAACAACUGUUAACCCAGGGCAAGCCUUGUCUAUUACACUCAGCAUUUGCCAAUCCCCAUGAUUUCCACAAGUGGGAAACUUGACUACAGAAUUUGUGCUAGUGGGUAAAUAAACACA
rnacentral:snRNA from 1 species